AGCUUUGUGGUGUACAACACAUUAGAUUGCAAAUCUAAAGAUGCAGGCUCGCGCCUGCCGGAGCUU
rnacentral:tRNA from 1 species